rnacentral:rRNA from 1 species
CUAGCAGGAUUCCCCUAGUAACUGCGAGUGAAGCGGGAAAAGCUCAAAUUUAAAAUCUGGCAGUCUUUGGCUGUCCGAGUUGUAAUCUAGAGAAGUAAUGCCCGUGCUGGACCGUAUACAAGUCUCCUGGGAUGGAGCAUCAUAGAGGGUGAGAAUCCCGUCUUUGAUACGGACUACCAGUGCAUUGUGGUAUGCUCUCAACGAGUCGAGUUGUUUGGGAAUGCAGCUCAAAAUGGGUGGUAAAUUCCAUCUAAAGCUAAAUAUUGGCGAGAGACCGAUAGCGAACAAGUACCGUGAGGGAAAGAUGAAAAGAACUUUGGAAAGAGAGUUAAACAGUACGUGAAAUUGCUGAAAGGGAAACGCUUGAAGUCAGUCACGUCUGCUGGGAAUCAGCCUCGCUCCUGCGUGGUGUACUUUCUGGUAGACGGGUCAGCAUCAGUUUUGACCACUGGAAAAAGGUGUGGGGAAUGUGACAGCUCCGGCUGUGUUAUAGCCUCAUAUUGUAUACAGUGGUUGGGACUGAGGAACGCAGCACGCCGCAAGGCCGGGUCUUUGACCACGUUCGUGCUUAGGAUGCUGGCAUAAUGGCUUUAAGCGACCCGUCUUGAAACACGGACCAAGGAGUCUAACAUGCCUGCGAGUGUUUGGGUGGAAAACUCGAGCGCGCAAUGAAAGUGAAAGUUGAGAUCCCUGUCGUGGGGAGCAUCGACGCCCGGACCAGAACUUUUGGGACGGAUCCGCGGUAGAGCAUGUAUGUUGGGACCCGAAAGAUGGUGAACUAUGCCUGAAUAGGGUGAAGCCAGAGGAAACUCUGGUGGAGGCUCGUAGCGGUUCUGACGUGCAAAUCGAUCGUCAAAUUUGGGUAUAGGGGCGAAAGACUAAUCGAAC